UUGAAAAUGGAUAAAAUGGAUUUGCAUAAAUUUAUGGAAAAGGAAAUCCAACAAUUAGAAACAUUGUGCAAGCAGCUGUACGAAGCAACCGAUGCGAGCGUACGCGCUGAUGCUGAAAAGAGACUUGUGUCUUUCGUCAAUAGCCAGGACGCCUUAUCCAAGUGUCAGCUAUUAUUAGAUCGAGCUGACUCCAGCUACGCACAACUACUUGCCGCAUCUACCCUUACAAAACUUAUACAGGGGAUAACUCUUGGACAACGCAUUGAUAUUCGCAGCUAUGCCCUGAACUACUUGGCAACCAGACUUAAUUUGCAGCACUUUGUAGUCCAAGCGCUUGUAACACUUCUAGCUAAAAUCACAAAAUAUGGGUGGUUUGAUUCAUACAAGGGCGAAUUUAUAUUCCAAAACAUACUUGAGGACGUGAAAAAGUUCUUACAGGGUUCAGUUGAGCAUUGUACGAUCGGCGUGCAAAUCCUUUCACAGCUGGUAUCAGAAAUGAAUUCAAUUGUGGAAUUAGAUGCUAACUUAUCAUUUUCAAAAAAUCGAAAGAUAGCUACAUCUUACCGAGAUCAGCAACUGUAUGAUACUUUUCUACUUUCCUGCUCUCUUUUGAUUAAUGCACGAGACAACAGGAAGAAUUUAAAUUUUUUGGACGAAUCGCAACAGGCGCUAAUAUCCCAAGUCUUACGAUUAACAAAAAACUGCCUGAGCUUUGAUUUUAUUGGUAGUUCCACUGAUGAGUCAGCUGAUGAUAUGAACAAUGUCCAGAUACCAACAGCUUGGCGUCCUGCUUUUCUUGACACAAACACAUUAAAAUUAUUCUUUGAUUUAUAUCAAAUUUUACCGAAUGGUUUAGCCAGUUAUUCACUUUCGUGCCUAGUGCAAAUGACAUCUGUACGUCGAUCUCUGUUUAGUAACUCAGAGCGAACGAAAUUUUUGACCAACUUAGUUGAAGGAGUCAAAAAUAUACUCAGAAACUUGCACGGUCUUAGCGAUCCAGAUAAUUACCAUGAAUUUUGUCGUUUGCUAGCGCGUCUGAAAUCCAAUUAUCAACUUGGGGAACUCAUUGGUGUUCCUUGCUACCCCGAAGCCAUAGAAUUAAUCGCGAAGUUUACGGUACAAUCGUUACAUAUGUGGCUCUUUGCUCCAAAUAGCGUGCACUAUUUACUUACUCUAUGGCAGCGUAUGGUUGCUUCAGUACCGUACGUCAAAUCGCCGGAUCCGCAUUUACUUGGCACAUAUACACCUGAAGUGAUAAAGGCAUACAUUGAGUCCCGUUUAGAGGCUGUGCCCUUAAUUGUACGUGAUAAUAUGGAGGAUCCCUUAGAUGAUCUUUGUAUGGUACAACAACAGCUUGAACAGUUAUCGGUUAUCGAGCGUUGCGAGUACAAUAAGACUUGCAACCUUCUUGUACAACAUUUUGAUCAAAAGGCACGUGAGUACGAAAAUCUCAUUCAGAGCCUCAAUGCAAACCCUAUAGAUAUUACGGUCCAUGAGUUGCAAUUGACUUGGUUGGUUUAUAUAAUUGGUUCGGCCAUUGUGGGGAGACUUUCUGUGACCACCAGCGAUGAACAUGACAAUAUGGAUGCAGAGCUUGUUAUUCGUGUACUGCAACUUAUGAGUUUAACUGACUCACGUCUUCCUCAAACUGGUUGUGAGAAGCUGGAACUAGCCAUUUUGAGCUUUUUAGAUCAGGUUCGGAAAAUGCAUAGCAGUGACCAGGCACAAAAAGCAACUGUAUACAAGCGCCUUAAUGAAGUUUUUGGACUAAAUGAUGAGCAAAUGUUGCUAAGUUUCAUAAACCGUAAAAUCAUAACUAACCUUAAGUUUUGGGGUCGUUCUGAGCAAAUAAUUACAAAAACUUUAGUGUUAUUAUCUGAUCUGUCAGUGCACUUUAAUUCAGUGCGUAAAUUGGCUCGCUUAGAGGAAGUUCAAUUCAUGUUAACACAUCACACAAGCGAACAUUUUCCUUUUCUUGGCACGAGCUCAUCUCUGAACGAAAUGCGUUGUCGGACAAUGUUUUACACAGCCUUAAGUCGUUUAUUAAUGUUUGAUUUGGGCGAGGAUGAAGAACGUUUCUACAAUUUUCUUACACCACUUACAAAUCAGUUUGAAUCACUUGGAAAUGUGCUAAUGGAUACAAAAAGUUUUCCAAAUGAUGAGGUCAAAAAAGCGAUUAUUGGGUUAGCCCGCGACUUGCGUGGUCUAGCAUUGCCGCUUAAUGCUCGUAUCCAAUACACUAUGCUAUUUGAAUGGCUUUACUACACUGAUUACUUACCCAUAUUGCUUCGUGCGGUGGAAUUGUGGGCGCAUGAACCUGCUAUUACUACGCCUGUCUUAAAGUUAUUUGCUGAGUUAGUGCAUUGCCGCACACAGCGUUUAGCCGGAAACGUUUCUAGCCCUAUGGGUAUUUUGCUAUUUCGCGAGGCAUCAAAACUUAUUUGCAUAUAUGGCAAUCGUAUUCUACAUCUGGAAGUGUCAACUGAUCAACUUUACCCAAUGAAACUAAAGGGAAUAUCAAUCUGCUUCUUGAUUUUAAAAAAUGCGCUUGGAGGGAACUAUGUCAACUGUGGUGUGUUCAAACUAUAUGGUGAUGAUACAUUACAUAAUGUUCUUAAUAUUGUCGCCAAGCUUAUUCUGUCCAUACGGCAAAGUGAUUUAUUGGAAUACCCGAAAUUGGCCUCGGCUUAUUACAAUUUAUUAAACUGCCUAUCUCAGGAUCAUGUGACAUAUCUUGCCACUUUAGAACCACGCGCAUUUGUGUAUGUAUUGGAAACUCUGACAAAGGGCCUUGCCGCACUAGAUUCGGCAAUUUAUAUCAGCUGUUGCACUAUUUUAGAUAGCAUUGUAUCAUACAUCUUUAAGCAGCUUCAAUUAAAAAUUUCAACAUUCCCAAACAAGAAGCUACGAAGUUUGACACGGGAAAAUUCACAAUUUCUUAAGGUGGUUGAACUUAAUUCUGAGCUACUACAAAGCAUGAUGUCCUCAUUGUUAAACAAUGUACUGGCUGAGGACUGCCGGAACCAAUGGUCUAUGUCUCGCCCAUUAUUGGUACUUAUACUGCUCUACGAGGAUUAUUAUCGCUCACUGAAGGAAACUAUUAUCCGUGGACAACCCGUUGAAAAACAACAGACAAUGGCCCAGUGGUUCGAAGAUUUGAUGGUUGGUAUAGAGCGCAAUGUGUCCAGUAAAAAUAAGGAAAAGUUUACACAGAAUCUAUCCACUUUUCGACGAGACGUAGUUAAUCUACCAAAAUCGGCAACAUAUUCGACAGAAAGUUUUUACCAGGCAUAUACUGAAACAAACUACUCAAUAUCGUUAUAAAUGUCGGACAAAUUUGAUGUCUUCUACUAGUGUUACCUGUCAAAAACCUGUCAUAACACAAUUUAAAAAGUUUUUAGCAGGCCUAUAGUGAAACAAUCUACUCAAUAUCGGUAUAAAUGUUGGACAAAUUUGUUGCCUUCUACUGGUGUUACCUGUCAAAAAACCUGUCAUAACACAAUUUAAAACGUUAUGCCAAGUGCAGGCGGAUGACUAUUUAUCAUAAAAGAAUGCACUCGAAAACGAGCUCGAGCUUGAACGCGAGCUAUGAAUGAAAUCGUAUUGGUAUCCGUUACCACAGUAAACUUAAACUUAUUAGGAAGCAAUUCGAUGGCCCGUAUCUCUUAUUUAUAACCCAAGUAUGUGUUGAUUUCCAUUACCUGCGACAAACCAAAUGUUCUGCAAUUUUCGGCUUUGAAACGUAGUUUCGACAUUAUCGACAGCUCUCGGCAGUAACCAUAGCAUUUUUGCAUUAGUGUUUACCAGGUAUAUACUGAAACAAACUACUCAAUAUCGUUAUGAAUGUCGGACAAACUUGAUGUCUUCUACUAGUGUUACCUGUCAAAAACCUGUCAUAACACAAUUUAAAGUGUUUACCAGGUAUAUACUGAAACAAACUACUCAAUAUCGUUAUGAAUGUCGGACAAACUUGAUGUCUUCUACUAGUGUUACCUGUCAAAAACCUGUCAUAACACAAUUUAAAAAGUUUCUACCAGGCAUAUACUGAAACAAACUACUCAAUAUCGGUAUAAAUGUCGGACAAAUUUGUUGCCUUCUAUUGGUGUUACCUGUCAAAAAACCUGUCAUAACACAAUUUAAAUUAUUAUGCCAAGUGCACGCGGAUGACUAUUUAUCAUAAAAGAAUACACUCGAAAACUAAGUAGUGUAAUUCAAGUCGAGAUUGAACGUGAGCUAUGAAUGAAAUCGUAUUGGUAUCCGUUACCAAAUUAAACUUAAACUUAUUAGGAAGCAAUUCGAUGGCCCGUAUCUCUUAUUUGUAACGCAAGUAUGUGUUGCUUACCUGCGACAAACCAAAUGUUCUGCAAUUUUCGGCUUUGAAAAGUAGUUUCGACAUUAUCGGCAGCUUUCGGCAGUAACCAUAGCAUUUUUGCAUUGUAAAUAUAUUUUUACUUUUACUGAAAGAAAAAUUGUAAUUGUGAUUAUUUUCAGAAAGUUUUUACCAGGCCUAUACUGAAACAAACUACUUAAUAUCGUUAUAAAUGUCGGACAAAUUUGAUGUCUUCUACUAGUGUUACCUGUCAAAGACCUGUCAUAACACAAUUUAACCAAAACUCUUGAAUGAAAUGUCAACACCCGACACGAUCAGAUGAUACACUUCUGUGCUGGGAUACCCGUAAGUAAGUAUCAAUCGGCUUAUUUACAAAAACACAUCAUUUUCUCACUUACACUUUGGAGAUGACCACGUCACGCAGGAUUACAGAAGCUCUGCUGGAUUGUGUACGACAGCCACGCAAAGUGCAGCAGCGACCUAAGGUGAUGACGAACAUAGUAAAUGUUUUAGUUACAUAUUUGUGGUUACAUAUUUGUGGUAAAAAUAGAUGCGUCUGAGCGUCCAGCUAAAUUAAUUCCAUAUUGGCGUCCAGACAAAUGAGUACGAGUAAGUCAUGAUUAAAUUAUUAACCUCACGAAUCUCCUGUACACUCUGCAGAAAUUGUGGCAAUGGUUUUGUUUAAAUCUAAGAGCUGGUGCGGCACAUGAAUAAACAGAUGAAUCGACCUUAUGCCCCGCGUCCUUCACCGAUCGUUGAACUACGAGAAAGCAUCAUUAUAUUGUUGUUAUUAUAUUGUUAACACCCAUAAAAUGCGAUUGCAUCAUGUGUCGCAUAAGAAACGUGAAACUUGUUGACUUGGACAUGCAAACGCAAAAACCUAUUAAAAAUGAAAUGGUUAUCGUGUUGAAUGAGUUAAAAUUGAUUAUGUAAGAUUAUAUUAGUAACAUUUAAUCAAA